rnacentral:rRNA from 1 species
UGCCGCGUGAGUGAAGAAGGCCUUCGGGUUGUAAAGCUCUUUUGUCAGGGAAGAAACGGGUGAGGUUAAUACCUUUGCCUAAUGACGGUACCUGAAGAAUAAGCACCGGCUAACUACGUGCCAGCAGCCGCGGUAAUACGUAGGGUGCAAGCGUUAAUCGGAAUUACUGGGCGUAAAGCGUGCGCAGGCGGUUAUACAAGACAGAUGUGAAAUCCCCGGGCUCAACCUGGGAAUUGCAUUUGUGACUGUAUGGCUAGAGUGUGUCAGAGGGGGGUAGAAUUCCACGUGUAGCAGUGAAAUGCGUAGAUAUGUGGAGGAAUACCGAUGGCGAAGGCAGCCCCCUGGGAUAACACUGACGCUCAUGCACGAAAGCGUGGGGAGCAAACAGGAUUAGAUACCCUGGUAGUCCACGCCCUAAACGAUGUCUACUAGUUGUCGGGUCUUAAUUGACUUGGUAACGCAGCUAACGCGUGAAGUAGACCGCCUGGGGAGUACGGUCGCAAGAUUAAAACUCAAAGGAAUUGACGGGGACCCGCACAAGCGGUGGAUGAUGUGGAUUAAUUCGAUGCAACGCGAAAAACCUUACCUACCCUUGACAUGUACGGAAUCCUGAAGA